rnacentral:ncRNA from 1 species
GAUCGACAGUGCGACUAAUACAAUACCGCAAGGGAAUACGUCCGCCUGAUUGAAUACAGGUUUUGAGCUGUCGAUCACCCUAAC